GGACUACUAAAGGCAGCACCUCACAGGACUACUAAGCAAGCAACAAAAGUAACUCCAGCGAUUCUGGGUUGUCCAUGAUGACUGAAAGCAAGUUCCAUGAUCAUCACGUCUGCUUGGAAAACUCUGUGGCAAAAAAAUUAUCAGGUGUUCACAUAUAAUAAAUAAACAUAUUUACCGCACAUGCUCAGAACGUUCGGAGUAAGUGUAGUAAAUAUGAAAAAAACAUGUAUAUCUGGUCAAAAUAAAACCAAGACAGGUAGUGAGCAA